rnacentral:rRNA from 1 species
GACGAACGCUGGCGGCGUGCCUAAUACAUGCAAGUCGAGCGGAAGUUGAAGAGCUUGCUCUUCAACUUUAGCGGCGGACGGGUGAGUAACACGUGGGCAACCUGCCCUGCAGAUCGGGAUAACUCCGGGAAACCGGUGCUAAUACCGAAUAGUUUUCGCCACCUCCUGGUGGCGUACGGAAAGACGGUUUCGGCUGUCACUGCAGGAUGGGCCCGCGGCGCAUUCGCUAGUUGGUGGGGUAACGGCCCACCAAGGCGACGAUGCGGAGCCGACCUGAGAGGGUGAUCGGCCACACUGGGACUGAGACACGGCCCAGACUCCUACGGGAGGCAGCAGUAGGGAAUCUUCCGCAAUGGACGAAAGUCUGACGGAGCAACGCCGCGUGAGUGACGAAGGUUUUCGGAUCGUAAAACUCUGUUGUGAGGGAAGAACAAGUACCAACUAACUACUGGUACCUUGACGGUACCUCACCAGAAAGCCACGGCUAACUACGUGCCAGCAGCCGCCGUAAAAC